CUUAGCUCAGUUGGUAGAGCAACUGAUUUGUAAUCAGUAGGUCGCUGGUCCGAAUCCGGCAG
rnacentral:tRNA from 1 species